rnacentral:rRNA from 1 species
UACGGGGGGGGCAAGCGUUGUUCGGAAUUACUGGGCGUAAAGGGCUCGUAGGCGGCCAACUAAGUCAGACGUGAAAUCCCUCAGCUUAACUGGGGAACUGCGUCUGAUACUGGAUGGCUUGAGUUUGGGAGAGGGAUGCGGAAUUCCAGGUGUAGCGGUGAAAUGCGUAGAUAUCUGGAGGAACACCGGUGGCGAAGGCGGCAUCCUGGACCGAGAUUGACGCUGAUGCGCGAAAGCCAGGGGAGCAAACGGGG